rnacentral:rRNA from 1 species
GACGAACGCUGGCGGCGCGCCUAACACAUGCAAGUCGAGCGAGAACCAGGGCUUCGGCCCUGGGGACAGCGGCGAACGGGUGAGUAACACGUGGGUAACCUGCCCUCGGCACCGGGAUAGCCCGGGGAAACCGGAUUAAUACCGGACAGCCUCAUGAGCUCUCGGGCUCGUGAGAAAAGGUGGCUUCGGCUUCCGGCUGAGGAUGGGCCCGCGGCCGAUUAGCUUGUUGGUGAGGUAACGGCUCACCAAGGCGAUGAUCGGUAGCUGGUCUGAGAGGACGAUCAGCCACACUGGGACUGAGACACGGCCCAGACUCCUACGGGAGGCAGCAGUGGGGAAUCUUGCGCAAUGGGCGAAAGCCUGACGCAGCGACGCC